rnacentral:rRNA from 1 species
CUACGGGAGGCAGCAGUGGGGAAUAUUGGACAAUGGGCGGGAGCCUGAUCCAGCAAUGCCGCGUGUGUGAAGAAGGCCUGCGGGUUGUAAAGCACUUUCAGUCGGGAGGAAAAGGGUCCGGAUAAUACCCGGACUUGUUGACGUAACCGACAGAAGAAGCACCGGCUAACUCCGUGCCAGCAGCCGCGGUAAUACGGAGGGUGCGAGCGUUAAGCGGAAUUACUGGGCGUAAAGGGCGCGUAGGCGGCGCGAUCAGUCCGAUGUGAAAGCCCUGGGCUUAACCUGGGAAUGGCAUUGGAUACUGUAGUGCUAGAGUUUGAUAGAGGGGAGUGGAAUUUCCGGUGUAGCGGUGAAAUGCGUAGAGAUCGGAAGGAACACCAGUGGCGAAGGCGACUCUCUGGAUUAAAACUGACGCUGAGGUGCGAAAGCGUGGGUAGCAAACAGGAUUAGAUACCCCCGUAGUC